GACGAACGCUGGCGGCGUGCUUAACACAUGCAAGUCGAACGGAAAGGCCCUGCUUUUGUGGGGUGCUCGGGUGGCGAACGGGUGAGUAACACGUGAGUAACCUGCCCUUGACUUUGGGAUAACUUCAGGAAACUGGGGCUAAUACCGGAUAGGAGCUCCUGCUGCAUGGUGGGGGUUGGAAAGUUUCGGCGGUUGGGGAUGGACUCGCGGCUUGUCAGCUUGUUGGUGGGGUAGUGGCUUACCAAGGCUUUGACGGGUAGCCGGCCUGAGAGGGUGACCGGCCACAUUGGGACUGAGAUACGGCCCAGACUCCUACGGGAGGCAGCAGUGGGGAAUAUUGCACAAUGGGCGGAAGCCUGAUGCAGCAACGCCGCGUGCGGGAUGACGGCCUUCGGGUUGUAAACCGCUUUCGCCUGUGACGAAGCGUGAGUGACGGUAAUGGGUAAAGAAGCACCGGCUAACUACGUG
rnacentral:rRNA from 1 species